rnacentral:rRNA from 1 species
UACGAAGGGUGCAAACGUUGCUCGGAAUCAUUGGGAGUAAAGCGCACGUAGGCGGCUUCAAAAGUCGGAUGUGAAAUCCCGUGGCUCAACCAUGGACGUGCAUUCGAAACUGCGAAGCUUGAGUAUGGAAGAGGGUCGCGGAAUUCCCGGUGUAGAGGUGAAAUUCGUAGAUAUCGGGAGGAACACCAGUGGCGAAGGCGGCGACCUGGGCCAAUACUGACGCUGAGGUGCGAAGGCGUGGGGAGCAAACAGG